rnacentral:rRNA from 1 species
CACCGUUUACUAGAAAAUCAGUAUCCUACUCGGAUAACUGUGGCAAUUCUAGAGCUAAUACGUGCGAAAAAGCUCGUUUCGCAAGAUUCGAGCGCAUUUAUUAGAAUAAAAACCAAUCGGGCCCAUAAAGCCCGUAAUUUGGUGAAUCUGAAUAACUUUGCCGAUCGCACGGUCCUAGUACCGGCGACGUAUCUUUCAAGUGUCUGCCUUAUCAACUUUCGAUGGUAGGUUAUACGCCUACCAUGGUAGUAACGGGUAGCGGAGAAUAAGGGUUCGACUCCGGAGAGGGAGCCUGAGAAACGGCUACCACAUCCAAGGAAGGCAGCAGGCGCGCAAAUUACCCACUUCCAGAACGGAGAGGUAGUGACGAAAAAUAACGAGACAGUCCUCUUCGAGGUCUGUCAUCGGAAUGGGUACAAUUUAAAUCCUUUAACGAGGAUCUAUUGGAGGGCAAGUCUGGUGCCAGCAGCCGCGGUAAUUCCAGCUCCAAUAGCGUAUAUUAAAGUUGUUGCGGUUAAAACGCUCGUAGUUGGAUCUGCGGCCUCGGAGAACGGUCCCCCGAAAGGGCGGUCACUGUUACUCCAAGCCUAAUUAUCUAGUCUACUCUACGGUGCUCUUAACCGAGUGCCUAGAGUGACUGGAACGUUUACUUUGAAAAAAUUAGAGUGCUUAAAGCAGGCGAAAUAGCCUGAAUAAGGUGCAUGGAAUAAUGGAAUAGGACCUCGGUUCUAUUUUGUUGGUUUUCGGAGCCCGAGGUAAUGAUUAAGAGGAACAGACGGGGGCAUUCGUAUUCCGGCGCUAGAGGUGAAAUUCUUGGACCGCCGGAAGACGGACGACUGCGAAAGCAUUUGCCAAGAAUGUUUUCAUUAAUCAAGAACGAAAGUUAGAGGUUCGAA